rnacentral:rRNA from 1 species
UACGGAGGGGGCUAGCGUUGUUCGGAAUUACUGGGCGUAAAGCGCGCGUAGGCGGCUUUGUAAGUUAGAGGUGAAAGCCUGGGGCUCAACUCCAGAAUUGCCUUUAAGACUGCAUCGCUUGAACGUCGGAGAGGUGAGUGGAAUUCCGAGUGUAGAGGUGAAAUUCGUAGAUAUUCGGAAGGACACCAGUGGCGAAGGCGGCUCACUGGACGACUGUUGACGCUGAGGUGCGAAAGCGUGGGGAGCAAACAGG